GGACUACUGGGGUUUCUAAUCCUGUUUGAUCCCCGCACUUUCGUGCCUCAGCGUCAGUUAUAGUUUAGUAAGCUGCCUUCGCAAUCGGUGUUCUUGACAAUAUCUAUGCAUUUCACCGCUACACUGUCAAUUCCGCCUACCUCAACUAUACUCAAGUCUUCCAGUAUCAAUGGCAGUUCUCCAGUUGAGCUGGAGGAUUUCACCACUGACUUAAAAGACCGCCUACGCACCCUUUAAACCCAAUAAAUCCGGACAACGCUUGCACCCUCCGUAUUACCGCGGCGGCUGGCAC
rnacentral:rRNA from 2 species